GCGUAUACAAUUUGCCUUUUACUGGAGGAUAGCCCAAAGAAAUUUGGAUUAAUACUCCAUAAUAUUACUGGAUCGCAUGGUUUGGUAAUUAAAGUUCCGGCGGUAAGAGAUGAGUAUGCGUCCUAUUAGUUAGUUGGUGAGGUAACGGCGCACCAAGACAGCGAUAGGUAGGGGUCCUGAGAGGGAGAUCCCCCACACUGGUACUGAGACACGGACCAGACUUCUACGGGAGGCAGCAGUGAGGAAUAUUGGUCAAUGGAGGCAACUCUGAACCAGCCAUGCCGCGUGCAGGAAGACGGC
rnacentral:rRNA from 1 species